rnacentral:tRNA from 1 species
GACGUUGGUGGGUGACGGACUCUCGGCCGCCCACGUCGGCGUUGUGGUGGCCACCGCGGCGGCCGGUUCGGUGGCGGUCAGCGUCG